AAAGGAAGAGAGAAGCCAGGUGUGGUGAUGGCGGCUCUUCUCUUUAGUCUCAGUGUGCUUGGGAGGCGGAGGCAGGAUGAUCACAACUUCAAGACCAGUCUCAGCUGGAUAGCUGGGCCACGAGAGAGACUUCAUCUCAAAACAAGCAAACAAAUACAUGCACAAAGAGCUAUCUGGAGGGAACAUGCAUCUCCUUUAAAGAUAAUAGGAAGAAAGAGGCUUGGCAUGGAGCAAGCUACUUAAGGACUAUUUAGGAAGAGACCUCCACAUGAAGGUGUUGGGAAGAACAGCACAUUGAAUAGUGACAUCCCUACGACAUGCCUCUCCAGGUGGUGCGACAUGCCUCUUCUCUUACCCAGGGCGCCUUGCCUCAUUAUCUCCCCCCCACCCCCCCUUUGAGUCACAGGAAGAAGAUGUGACUUUGAGAAACUGGUCUUCAAACUGGAGAGAGAGAGAGAGGGGCAUCUAGUCGAUUCUAACAAUUGAUCUUACAAGGAGUCGAGGAAGAAGGAGGAGGAAGAGAAAGGUAAAGGCAGAGGAGGAGGAAGAAAGAAAAGAGGAAGAGGAGGGGGAAGAAAAAGAAGAAAGAAAAAGGGAGGAAGGGAAAGGAAGGAGAAAUAGGUCCAGUCUGGCCGGGUCUGCAAAGGAGAUGUGCUUCAAGGACGGCGAUUGUUAUGGUCUUAAUGUUUGUGUCUCCUUAAAAUCCACACGCUGGAAGGAACCUUUGGCCCUAAAGAUGGCAGUACAGAGAUGUUGGGCCUUCUGUGGGUGGUUUGGUCAUGAAGACAGAACUGCCCUCAUUCCCAGCUGGACUAGCACUCUUAUAAAACAAGCUCCAAGACCUGUUUGCCUUCCCUCCCAUGUGAGCUGAUUAUGACAAAGGAAGUAGGGCCCAGCCAGACCCCCACCCCCACCCCGAACCUUGAUCUCGGACUUCUCUGAAACUGUGAGGAAUAAAUGUUUAUUUGUGAGUAAGCUUCCUGGUCUUAGGCCUUUUGUUAUAGUAACCCCAGUGGACUCAUGCUCUGGUGGAAAAUUCAAGAGUCUACACCAAUAGCUCAAGAGCCAGAGCAGUCGGGCCUAGGACAGUGCAAACAAACGGUGAAACCUACCUUGCCAUUGUCAGAGGCGUGGCCUCAGCAGAGGCGUGGCUUCAGCAGAGGCGUGUCCACUGUAGGAAUAGAGCAAAAUAAAGCCUAGAAAUGCGGAGGAGACUGUCCAGUUUAUUAAGGAGAGUAUAUGACAUCAGAUUCUAGUCACAGCAGACUGGGCAGCCAGUGAGAUGGAGGUCUGUAUGAAAACCAGAAAUGUUCCUCAUUUUUGUAAUGUACUAAGGGUUUUGUAAAGAUUCUGCAUGGAAACUGUGAAUCAAGUUCAGGCCACCCUCUUUCCCAUGUCCAAAGGACACAAUGUGUCCUGACACCUGGAAAUCCCUUUUGUCUCCACUCACCCAAAGUCCUCAAACACCACACACCCAUGGUUUGAGGUCUUUCUCAUCUCUGCUCUUUUGCUUUUGUCUCUUUUUAAGACACUAGCUUGCCAUUGUCCCACGGAUUGGGCUCCCAAGGCCAGAUAUAUAAUUUACGUGAUUCACAACUUUAAUACAUU
rnacentral:lncRNA from 1 species